rnacentral:rRNA from 1 species
AGUAACGGCGAGUGAAGCGGCAACAGCUCAAAUUUGAAAUCUGGCGCAAGCCCGAGUUGUAAUUUGUAGAGGAUGUUUCUGGCGACGUGCCUUCCGAGUUCCCUGGAACGGGACGCCAUAGAGGGUGAGAGCCCCGUACGGUUGGAUGCCUAGCCUCUGUGAAACUCCUUCGACGAGUCGAGUUGUUUGGGA